rnacentral:rRNA from 1 species
UACGUAGGGUGCAAGCGUUAAUCGGAAUUACUGGGCGUAAAGCGUGCGCAGGCGGUUUUGUAAGUCUGUCGUGAAAGCCCCGGGCUUAACCUGGGAAUUGCGAUGGAGACUGCAAGGCUUGAAUCUGGCAGAGGGGGGGUAGAAUUCCACGUGUAGCAGUGAAAUGCGUAGAGAUGUGGAGGAACACCGAUGGCGAAGGCAGCCCCCUGGGUCAAAAUUGACGCUCGAUGCACGAAAGCGUGGGGAGCAAACAGG